AUCAAUAAGCGGAGGAAAAGAAACUAACAAGGAUUCCCCUAGUAACUGCGAGUGAAGCGGGAAAAGCUCAAAUUUAAAAUCGGGCGGUCUUUGGCCGUCCGAGUUGUAAUUUAGAGAAGCGUCUUCCGCGCCGGACCGUGCACAAGUCUCCUGGAAUGGAGCGUCAUAGAGGGUGAGAAUCCCGUCUUUGGCACGGAUGCCYGGUGCUUCUGUGAUGCGCUCUCGAAGAGUCGAGUUGUUUGGGAAUGCAGCUCAAAAUGGGUGGUGAACUCCAUCUAAAGCUAAAUAUUGGCGAGAGACCGAUAGYGAACAAGUACCGUGAGGGAAAGAUGAAAAGCACUUUGGAAAGAGAGUGAAACAGUACGUGAAAUUGUUGAAAGGGAAACGCUUGAAGUCAGUCGCGUCGACCGAGACUCAGCCUUGCCUCGGCUUGGUGUACUUCUCGGCCCGACGGGUCAGCGUCAAUUUUGCCCCUCGGAUAAUGGCAAGGGAAAGGUGGCACCUUUACGGGUGUGUUAUAGUCUCCUGUCGCAUGCGAGGGGUGGGAUUGAGGAACUCAGCGCGCACCUUGGUGUCGGGGCUUCGGCCCACGUCACGCGCUUAGGAUGCUGGCGUAAUGGCUUUAAACGACCCGUCUUGAAACACGGACCAAGGAGUCCAACACGCCCGCGAGUGUUCGGGUGGAAAACCCGUGCGCGUAAUGAAAGUGAAAGUUGGGACCUCUGUCGUGGAGGGCACCGACGCCCGGACCAGACCUUCUGUGACGGAUCUGCGGUAGAGCGUGUGUGUUGGGACCCGAAAGAUGGUGAACUAUGCCUGAAUAGGGUGAAGCCAGAGGAAACUCUGGUGGAGGCUCGUAGCGAUUCUGACGUGCAAAUCGAUCGUCAAAUUUGGGUAUAGGGGCGAAAGACUAAUCG
rnacentral:rRNA from 1 species